AUAGCAUGUCAGAAGGCAGACCCGGAGAACUGAAACAUCUUAGUACCCGGAGGAAGAGAAAGAAAAAUCGAUUCCCUGAGUAGCGGCGAGCGAAACGGGAAGAGCCCAAACCAACAAGCUUGCUUGUUGGGGUUGUAGGACACUCUAUACGGAGUUACAAAAGAACAUGUUAGACGAAUCAUCUGGAAAGAUGAAUCAAAGAAGGUAAUAAUCCUGUAGUCGAAAACAUAUUCUCUCUUGAGUGGAUCCUGAGUACGACGGAGCACGUGAAAUUCCGUCGGAAUCUGGGAGGACCAUCUCCUAAGGCUAAAUACUCUCUAGUGACCGAUAGUGAACCAGUACCGUGAGGGAAAGGUGAAAAGUACCCCGGAAGGGGAGUGAAAGAGAACUUGAAACCGUGUGCUUACAAGUAGUCAGAGCCCGUUAAUGGGUGAUGGCGUGCCUUUUGUAGAAUGAACCGGCGAGUUACGAUCUGAUGCAAGGUUAAGCAGCAAAUGUGGAGCCGCAGCGAAAGCGAGUCUGAAUAGGGCGUUGAGUAUUUGGUCGUAGACCCGAAACCAGGUGAUCUACCCUUGGUCAGGUUGAAGUUCAGGUAACACUGAAUGGAGGACCGAACCGACUUACGUUGAAAAGUGAGCGGAUGAACUGAGGGUAGCGGAGAAAUUCCAAUCGAACUUGGAGAUAGCUGGUUCUCUCCGAAAUAGCUUUAGGGCUAGCCUCAAGUGAUGAUUAUUGGAGGUAGAGCACUGUUUGGACGAGGGGCCCCUCUCGGGUUACCGAAUUCAGACAAACUCCGAAUGCCAAUUAAUUUAACUUGGGAGUCAGAACAUGGGUGAUAAGGUCCGUGUUCGAAAGGGAAACAGCCCAGACCACCAGCUAAGGUCCCAAAAUAUAUGUUAAGUGGAAAAGGAUGUGGCGUUGCCCAGACAACUAGGAUGUUGGCUUAGAAGCAGCCAUCAUUUAAAGAGUGCGUAAUAGCUCACUAGUCGAGUGACACUGCGCCGAAAAUGUACCGGGGCUAAACAUAUUACCGAAGCUGUGGAUUGUCCUUUGGACAAUGGUAGGAGAGCGUUCUAAGGGCGUCGAAGCAUGAUCGCAAGGACAUGUGGAGCGCUUAGAAGUGAGAAUGCCGGUGUGAGUAGCGAAAGACGGGUGAGAAUCCCGUCCACCGAUUGACUAAGGUUUCCAGAGGAAGGCUCGUCCGCUCUGGGUUAGUCGGGUCCUAAGCUGAGGCCGACAGGCGUAGGCGAUGGAUAACAGGUUGAUAUUCCUGUACCACCUAGUAUCGUUUUAAUCGAUGGGGGGACGCAGUAGGAUAGGCGAAGCGUGCUGUUGGAGUGCACGUCCAAGCAGUAAGGCUGAGUGUUAGGCAAAUCCGGCACUCAUAAGGCUGAGCUGUGAUGGGGAGAGGAAAUUGUUUCCUCGAGUCGUUGAUUUCACACUGCCGAGAAAAGCCUCUAGAUAGAUAACAGGUGCCCGUACCGCAAACCGACACAGGUAGUCAAGAUGAGAAUUCUAAGGUGAGCGAGCGAACUCUCGUUAAGGAACUCGGCAAAAUGACCCCGUAACUUCGGGAGAAGGGGUGCUCUUUAGGGUUCACGCCCAGAAGAGCCGCAGUGAAUAGGCCCAAGCGACUGUUUAUCAAAAACACAGGUCUCUGCUAAACCGUAAGGUGAUGUAUAGGGGCUGACGCCUGCCCGGUGCUGGAAGGUUAAGAGGAGUGGUUAGCUUCUGCGAAGCUACGAAUCGAAGCCCCAGUAAACGGCGGCCGUAACUAUAACGGUCCUAAGGUAGCGAAAUUCCUUGUCGGGUAAGUUCCGACCCGCACGAAAGGCGUAACGAUUUGG
rnacentral:rRNA from 2 species